CUCCCUCCCUCGGCUGGAAGCCAGGGGGCAACUCUGGUGACCGGGAAGGCACUGGGAGCCUUGGCCCCAGACCCGAGGCUUCGCUGCCAGGAGCCCUAAAAGAAUGUUGACCAUGAAGAAAAACAUCCUGUGAUUGUCUUGUGUCCACUAAAAACUGAAGCCUGCAAGAUAAUGACCAUGGGAUCGAAGGACACUUGCCCAUUCCCAGCCCCUCACCUUUGGAAAAGUGCCUUUAUAAGUCUCGCAGCCUACGGAGAGGCUAGUGAUAUUCCUCUUUCCUGUCAGCCCUCUUUUAUACAAGCUAUCUCUUUUUUUUUUUUAAGAUUUUAUUUAUUUAUUGAGACAGAGAGAGAGAGGCAGAGACACAGGCAGAGGGAGAAGCAGGCUCCAUGCAGGGAGCCCGACGUGGGACUCGAUCCAGGGUCUCCAGGAUUAAGCCCUGGGCUGCAGGCGGCGCUAAACCGCUGCACCACCAAGGCUGCCCUAUACAAGCUAUCUCUAAUAAACUCCACCUGUUUUCUUUC